AACGAACGCUGGCGGCAGGCCUAACACAUGCAAGUCGAACGCUCGUAGCAAUACGAGAGUGGCAGACGGGUGAGUAACACGUGGGAACCUUCCCUAUGGUUCGGAAUAGCUCAGGGAAACUUGGGGUAAUACCGGAUAAGCCCUUCGGGGGAAAGAUUUAUCGCCAUUGGAUGGGCCCGCGUCGGAUUAGCUAGUUGGUGAGGUAACGGCUCACCAAGGCAACGAUCCGUAGCUGGUCUGAGAGGAUGAUCAGCCACACUGGGACUGAGACACGGCCCAGACUCCUACGGGAGGCAGCAGUGGGGAAUAUUGGACAAUGGGCGCAAGCCUGAUCCAGCCAUGCCGCGUGAGUGACGAAGGUCUUCGGAUUGUAAAACUCUUUUGGC
rnacentral:rRNA from 1 species